GGAUAUAACUCAGUUGGUAGACUGCUUGUCUCACAUGCACAAGGCCCUGGGUUUAAUUCCCAGCACCA
rnacentral:tRNA from 1 species